rnacentral:rRNA from 1 species
GGUGUAUAUUAACGGCCGCGGUAUUUUGACCGUGCAAAGGUAGCGUAAUCAUUUGUCUAUUAAUUGUAGACUAGAAUGAAAGAAUUGACGUAAAAAUAAUUGUCUCUUUAUUUUUAUUUUAAUUUUCUUUUUAUGUGAAGAAGCAUAAAUUAAUUUUUAAGACGAGAAGACCCUAUUGAAUUUUAUUUUCUUUUUAAAAUUUUUUUCUUUCUUUUUAUUUUGUUUAUUUGAUUGGGGCAAUCUAAGAGUAAAAAAAUCUCUUUUUCUUAUUAUGAUCCUUUAUUAAAGAUCUUUAGAGCAAAUUACCAUAGGGAUAACAGCGUUAUUUUUCUAGAAAGCUCGUAUUGAUAGAAAAGUUUGCGACCUCGAUGUUGGACUAAGCUUUCCUAAGGGUGAAGGUUUUCUUUAUGGUGGGUCUGUUCGACCCUUAAUAGCUU